rnacentral:rRNA from 1 species
GCUCAGGACGAACGCUGGCGGCGUGCCUAAUACAUGCAAGUCGAACGAACUCUGGUAUUGAUUGGUGCUUGCAUCAUGAUUUACAUUUGAGUGAGUGGCGAACUGGUGAGUAACACGUGGGAAACCUGCCCAGAAGCGGGGGAUAACACCUGGAAACAGAUGCUAAUACCGCAUAACAACUUGGACCGCAUGGUCCGAGUUUGAAAGAUGGCUUCGGCUAUCACUUUUGGAUGGUCCCGCGGCGUAUUAGCUAGAUGGUGRGGUAACGGCUCACCAUGGCAAUGAUACGUAGCCGACCUGAGAGGGUAAUCGGCCACAUUGGGACUGAGACACGGCCCAAACUCCUACGGGAGGCAGCAGUAGGGAAUCUUCCACAAUGGACGAAAGUCUGAUGGAGCAACGCCGCGUGAGUGAAGAAGGGUUUCGGCUCGUAAAACUCUGUUGUUAAAGAAGAACAUAUCUGAGAGUAACUGUUCAGGUAUUGACGGUAUUUAACCAGAAAGCCACGGCUAACUACGUGCCAGCAGCCGCGGUAAUACGUAGGUGGCAAGCGUUGUCCGGAUUUAUUGGGCGUAAAGCGAGCGCAGGCGGUUUUUUAAGUCUGAUGUGAAAGCCUUCGGCUCAACCGAAGAAGUGCAUCGGAAACUGGGAAACUUGAGUGCAGAAGAGGACAGUGGAACUCCAUGUGUAGCGGUGAAAUGCGUAGAUAUAUGGAAGAACACCAGUGGCGAAGGCGGCUGUCUGGUCUGUAACUGACGCUGAGGCUCGAAAGUAUGGGUAGCAAACAGGAUUAGAUACCCUGGUAGUCCAUACCGUAAACGAUGAAUGCUAAGUGUUGGAGGGUUUCCGCCCUUCAGUGCUGCAGCUAACGCAUUAAGCAUUCCGCCUGGGGAGUACGGCCGCAAGGCUGAAACUCAAAGGAAUUGACGGGGGCCCGCACAAGCGGUGGAGCAUGUGGUUUAAUUCGAAGCUACGCGAAGAACCUUACCAGGUCUUGACAUACUAUGCAAAUCUAAGAGAUUAGACGUUCCCUUCGGGGACAUGGAUACAGGUGGUGCAUGGUUGUCGUCAGCUCGUGUCGUGAGAUGUUGGGUUAAGUCCCGCAACGAGCGCAACCCUUAUUAUCAGUUGCCAGCAUUAAGUUGGGCACUCUGGUGAGACUGCCGGUGACAAACCGGAGGAAGGUGGGGAUGACGUCAAAUCAUCAUGCCCCUUAUGACCUGGGCUACACACGUGCUACAAUGGAUGGUACAACGAGUUGCGAACUCGCGAGAGUAAGCUAAUCUCUUAAAGCCAUUCUCAGUUCGGAUUGUAGGCUGCAACUCGCCUACAUGAAGUCGGAAUCGCUAGUAAUCGCGGAUCAGCAUGCCGCGGUGAAUACGUUCCCGGGCCUUGUACACACCGCCCGUCACACCAUGAGAGUUUGUAACACCCAAAGUCGGUGGGGUAACCUUUUAGGAACCAGCCGCCUAAG